GUGGCGGACGGGUGAGGAAUACAUCGGAAUCUACCUUUUCGUGGGGGAUAACGUAGGGAAACUUACGCUAAUACCGCAUACGACCUACGGGUGAAAGUGGGGGACCGCAAGGCCUCACGCGAUUAGAUGAGCCGAUGUCCGAUUAGCUAGUUGGCGGGGUAAUGGCCCACCAAGGCGACGAUCGGUAGCUGGUCUGAGAGGAUGAUCAGCCACACUGGAACUGAGACACGGUCCAGACUCCUACGGGAGGCAGCAGUGGGGAAUAUUGGACAAUGGGCGCAAGCCUGAUCCAGCCAUACCGCGUGGGUGAAGAAGGCCUUCGGGUUGUAAAGCCCUUUUGUUGGGAAAGAAAUCCUAUCGGUUAAUAACCGGUGGGGAUGACGGUACCCAAAGAAUAAGCACCGGCUAACUUCGUGCCAGCAGCCGCGGUAAUACGAAGGGUGCAAGCGUUACUCGGAAUUACUGGGCGUAAAGCGUGCGUAGGUGGUGGUUUAAGUCUGCUGUGAAAGCCCUGGGCUCAACCUGGGAAUUGCAGUGGAUACUGGAUCACUAGAGUGUGGUAGAGGGAUGCGGAAUUUCUGGUGUAGCAGUGAAAUGCGUAGAGAUCAGAAGGAACAUCCGUGGCGAAGGCGGCAUCCUGGGCCAACACUGACACUGAGGCACGAAAGCGUGGGGAGCAAACAGGAUUAGAU
rnacentral:rRNA from 1 species